rnacentral:rRNA from 1 species
CCCUUAGAUGUUCUGGGCUGCACACGUGCUACACUGGCAGGUUCAGCGAGCUUCAUGCCCUGAUCUGAAAGGAAUGGGAAAUCUUUUCAAAACCUGCCGUGCUUGGGAUAGAUGUUUGCAAUUAUUCAUCUUCAACGAGGAUUGCCUUGUAAGCGCACGUCAUCAGCGUGCAUUGAAUACGACCCUGUAUUCUGUACACACCGCCCGUCGCUCCUACCGAUUGAAGUUUUCGGUGAGUUGACAGGAGGAUUUUUUUGAAACUGGUUCGCCAGUGGAUUUUGGAUCCAAAUGCCAACGAAUCGAUGGCUUUAGAGGAAGGAGAAGUCGUAACA